GAUGAACGCUGGCGGCGUGCCUAAUACAUGCAAGUCGAGCGAACAGACGAGGAGCUUGCUCCUUUGACGUUAGCGGCGGACGGGAGAGUAACACGUGGAUAACCUACCUAUAAGACUGGGAUAACUUCGGGAAACCGGAGCUAAUACCGGAUAACAUGCUGAACCGUAUGGUUCAACAGUGAAAGACGGUCUUGCUGUCACUAAUAGAUGCAUCCCCGCCGCGUUGGGUAGUUGGGAAGGUAACGGGUUAUCAAGGCAAGGAUGCGUAGCCGACCUGAGAGAGGGGUCGCCGACACUGGAACGGGAACACGGUCCAGGGUCCUGAGGGAGGCAGCAGUAGGGAAUCUGCCGCAAUGGGCGAAAGCCUGACGGAGCAACGCCGCGUGAGUGAAGAAGGUCUUCGGAUCGUAAAACUCUGUUAUUAGGGAAGAACAAAUGUGUAAGUAACUAUGCACGUCUUGACGGUACCUAGUCAGAAAGCCACGGCUAACUACGUG
rnacentral:rRNA from 1 species